CUCCCAUACACUCAUUGACGAGCACACAAGUCCAUUCUGCUUCAUUCUGAGUGUUGGUAGUGAGAGUUGGUAGUGACUGGCCUGUGCUGCCUCUAGCUUUGGUGGAGGAAUGCUAGGGUUGAUUAGUAAUGUCUGCCCUGGGCUCAAGGGAGGAAGAGAGGGCAUGAUUGCUAUGGGUGGUCCAUUCUCAAAUGCCCCUGCAGCCCUCACACACACCCUCACUCAGGUUGCCUCUCACUGCUUGCUGUACCCCCUCCCUGUCCCCAUACCCCCAGAACCUGAGGAACAAGAGGUGGGAGUGUGUAACUCAAAGUCCCAGUUGUCAAGGUGCCUGGGAAGGGGUGAUGGGAGACGUGGGGAGAGCUGGGGCUGUGGGGAUGCCCUCUUCACCCCCUCUUAUCACCUGCCCCUCCUCCCACAGCCUCUGAGGAGGAGAGCCAGGGGCGGUCAGCCCAACCCCUGCCCAGCACAAAGACCUUCGCAUUCCAGACACAGAUCCGGAGGGGCCGCUUCAGUGUGGUGCGGCAGUGCUGGGAGAAGGCCAGCGGGCGGGCGCUGGCUGCCAAGAUCAUCCCCUACCACCCCAAGGACAAGACAGCAGUGCUGCGCGAAUACGAGGCCCUCAAGGGCCUGCGCCACCCGCACCUGGCCCAGCUGCACGCAGCCUACCUCAGCCCCCGGCACCUGGUGCUCAUCUUGGAGCUGUGCUCUGGGCCCGAGCUGCUCCCCUGCCUGGCCGAGAGGUGAGGGUGGCCUGGGGUGGUGUGGUUGAGCUGAUGGACGGACUGAUGGACUG
rnacentral:lncRNA from 1 species